GGAAAAAAACCCAGCACUUCUGGAAAAACAAUUAAACAUCCUACUAGAGCAAUUUAUCUACAAUGACUGCCCCCAGCGCAGUGAUUGAGAUGCAGAAACUGAGGCACGGAGAGGGUUAAAUAGCCUGUGAAAUACAACCUAACCCGAACCAGGAUGUGAAUUUAAGCAACUCUACUCAAGGUUUCUGCUCAUAAAUUAGAUAUUGAGAAGAUGACGUGGCUCACUCUAGCGAGCCUGCUAAACAGUGGCUUCUCAACCAAUUGGUCAAGUACCUCAGCUCCAGCUUGUAUCUUGGAAAAUACAAAAUUUUUCGAAAAGGAUAUCAUGCUGGAGAAUGAGAAAGAUGUCAUUUUAAUAUCAAAAAGUAAGGAAUGAAACCAGGUCUUUGAGAGCUGUAAGAAUAAUUCCUCCAUUGAAAUAGGUCAGAGAAAACCCCUUUCUUCUCAUCCAGAGAACCCCACAGAGGGUGAACUGAGGAGACAUUUAAAUGGAGCACUUUUAUUUAACUUUCGGUUUCUGUGAUUAAAAUGAUGUCAAUAUGUAAUCAGAUAUUAAUGACAUUCUGACUUAGGCUAACCUCAGCUGAAAUCCAGCAGGUUGAUAGUCUUUGAUCAGGUUUACUAACCUAAACAAGAGGAAAAAAUAUUCAUCUAUAUGGGGCCUGGGCUGUGGCCUAGAAGGUGGAAUAAAAGGGUCUCCAGAGAAAGAAACCRUGAUUUGAACCGAUGUGAUGAGGACACAUGUAAGAGUCCCAAACACCAUGCUUUUCCCUGACAUUGCCCUUGGCUAGGUGUAGCCUGGGCUCUCAGUAGAUUUUUUUCAUGCUACCUGGUUAUAUCUGCAUCAAGGGAAGAACAAAACAAACAGACCACUUUAAAUAAAUGGUUAUUUCAUUAGCCUUUCCUCUAAGUAACGGCAACGAGCAUGGCCCUGGAUGACCUGCUUUCUCAACGUUGCUCUACCAAUUACCCGGAUGUCUCCUCAGACAAAUGGUUUUGGAACACACUUUCCUAAAUCUUAAAUUAUCUCCCUUGCUACUUUACAGGGAAUGAUGGUAGGAAUAAAAGAAAUGAUGCUAUGUCAGGUUAGAAGUAAUAAAUAUUCAGAAGAUAUUAUAUUAUGAUUACAGCUUUUUCACGGCUCAAACUAUGGCUUAAGCAAAUUUGUCUUUGAAGGAUUUUUCCACUUACUUUUCAAAUGGAGACAUAGGCAUGAGUUUGAAAUGCCUCUUUGUCUUUAAAGUGAACUUAUUCUGACCUUUUGAGUGAGUGGCUUGUCACAUUUUAUCUGUCUCCUAAAUGGGAUUGUAAAGUCUGUCCUUCAGGGUGAUGCCCGCAAUGGGCAGCCGGGCCGUUUGGCCAGUCCCCUGGGUUGAGUGCCUGCUAUCACAGAAAUGCUGAGCCCAGACCC